GGGGCUUUAGCUCAGAGGGAGAGCGGGCGACUUAAGUUCGCAAUGUCCCGUGUUCAACCCACGGAAGUCCCA